rnacentral:rRNA from 1 species
AUAGAGUAGCUUGCUACUCUUGAGAGCGGCGCACGGGUGCGGAACACGUGUGCAACCUGCCUUUAUCUGGGGGAUAGCCUUUCGAAAGGAAGAUUAAUACCCCAUAAUAUAAUGAAUGGCAUCAUUUAUUAUUGAAAACUCCGGUGGAUAGAGAUGGGCACGCGCAAGAUUAGUUAGUUGGUGAGGUAACGGCUCACCAAGACGAUGAUCUUUAGGGGGCCUGAGAGGGUGAUCCCCCACACUGGUACUGAGACACGGACCAGACUCCUACGGGAGGCAGCAGUGAGGAAUAUUGGACAAUGGGUUAGCGCCUGAUCCAGCCAUCCCGCGUGAAGGACGACGGCCCUAUGGGUUGUAAACUUCUUUUGUA